GGCAAAGUGGCUUGAGUGUUGGACUACAGCUUCAGAGACGACCAGGGUUCAAUUCCCUGCUUGGCCA